rnacentral:sRNA from 1 species
UUAGUAUGUGUGCGCAUUCAAAGCCAAU